rnacentral:rRNA from 1 species
ACUGGAGUCUGCAACCCGACUCCACGAAGCUGGAUUCGCUAGUAAUCGCGCAUCAGCCACGGCGCGGUGAAUACGUUCCCGGGCCUUGUACACACCGCCCGUCAAGCCAUGGGAGCCGGGGGUACCUGAAGUGCGUAACCGCGAGGAUCGCCCUAGGGUAAAACUGGUGACUGGGGCUAAGUCGUAACAAGGUAAC